GAUGAACGCUGGCGGCGUGCCUAACACAUGCAAGUCGAGCGAUUCACUUCGGUGAAGAGCGGCGGACGGGUGAGUAACGCGUGGGUAACCUGCCUCAUACACAUGGAUAACAUACCGAAAGGUAUGCUAAUACAAGAUGAUAUAAGAGAUUCGCAUGGAUUUCUUACCAAAGCUCCGGCGGUAUGAGAUGGACCCGCGUCUGAUUAGCUAGUUGGUAAGGUAACGGCUUACCAAGGCGACGAUCAGUAGCCGACCUGAGAGGGUGAUCGGCCACAUUGGAACUGAGACACGGUCCAAACUCCUACGGGAGGCAGCAGUGGGGAAUAUUGCACAAUGGGCGAAAGCCUGAUGCAGCAACGCCGCGUGAGCGAUGAAGGCCUUCGGGUCGUGAAGCUCUGUCCUCAAGGAAGAUAAUGACGGUACUUGAGGAGGAAGCCCCGGCUAACUACGUGCCAGCCGCCACAGUAACAC
rnacentral:rRNA from 1 species